rnacentral:lncRNA from 1 species
CUCCUCCUCCAAGGUGGCCCUCAAGUUUGCCGAGGUCUGCCCCUCCUUCUGCAGCACCUCUUGGAGACUCGCAACCUCGGCAAUCUUCUCCUCGAGGCGGGCGGCUCCGGCUAGACGACCUUCCUCCGCCUGGGCGGCCUCCUUCCUGGCAUCGUUCAUCGCCUCGAUGUUGGUGAUGAGCUAGUAUCCAAUCUGCAAGAGC